rnacentral:lncRNA from 1 species
CUAGAAAAAAUAAACAAAGGUUUAAAAUAGCUUUGGAAAGAUUGUCCAUACUUUCCAAGAAUGUAAAGCCUAGAUAAGCAUCAUUGGACAUAUAUAAAGGAAUUUGUAGUUUAGAUUGCAAACAAGGUGUUGCUCACCACACUUGAAGGUUAGGUAUUUUAUUAAAAAUUAUUUUUGAAAAAAGCCUUUAGUUGGUCAUGCAUAACAUUUUGAUUUUCUAGUGCCAUAUUGCAUGUGUAUAUAAAUAUCAAUAUGAAUAAAUAAUAUUUUUUAAAGUUAUUCAUACAAUUUUUAUUUGUUUCUUUUUAUUUUUUUGUGAAAUAGUUUGAUUUUAAAAUGAACAGGAUUUAACUCUUACAUACAACAUACAAAUUUCACAAUUUAUAAAUUAGAAUAAUAACAUCCAACUCAUCUAAAGAUGCCCCUAACAUUGUUGACAACGAUGAAAGCUGCAAGAAUCUAAGAAAACCUUCUUAAACCUUCCACACUCUGAUUCUCACUAUACACUGUGCAAAGUUUAGUAAGCUGAAACACAAACUAUACAACCCAACAAACCAAACUCAUCUUUUCUACAGAACAUUACAAAACAGCUGAUUGAACAAAUGGGCUUGUGCAGAUCGUCACAAAUUGUCUCAUCCUUUUAACACCUAAUCAGUUAAUCGGUGGAGUUCAUAGCUGAGAUGGUAGUG